ACCUGGGUGGCUCAGUCGGUUGAGCAUCUGACUUCAGCUCAGGUCAUGAUCUCAUGGUUUGUGAGUUCGAGACCCACAUCGGGCU
rnacentral:tRNA from 1 species